UACAGAGGUCCCAAGCGUUGUUCGGAUUCACUGGGCGUAAAGGGUGCGUAGGCGGUCGGGUAAGUCUGAUGUGAAAUCUCACAGCUUAACUGUGAAACUGCAUUGGAUACUAUCCGGCUCGAGGAAUGGAGGGGAGACUGGAAUACUUGGUGUAGCAGUGAAAUGCGUAGAUAUCAAGUGGAACACCAGUGGCGAAGGCGAGUCUCUGGACAUUUCCUGACGCUGAGGUGCGAAAGCGUGGGGAGCAAACAGG
rnacentral:rRNA from 1 species